rnacentral:lncRNA from 1 species
AUUAUUAUUAGCUCCCUCGAGGUAAUCAUGCUCCGUGUUUCUAAAAUUGCAAAAGUCAAUCAUGAUCGGUCCAUUCAGCCUUCAACAUUGCAAAAGUCACACCCGCGAUUCUAAAGUUGGCAUGAAUUCUCUCCCGGCCAAUAAGUUUGGGGGAGAGAUUAAGCAGCAUUAAAGUUCCUCAAUCGGAGAUUAAGAGAAAUAAUGUAGGAACGAUAGUCGUGAGAGAUGUAGGCGAUCAGGUGGAGAAACCCAGGAGAAAAACAUAGAAUUGUACAAAAAUAGUGUUACAACGAAUCUCCUUCUCCCCGCCGUCGGCCGCCUUCUUCUCCAUCUGACUCUCCACUCUCUUCGCUCACUCACCAAACGAAUCUCCUCGUUCCCCCAGGCGAGAGAGAGAGAGAGAGAGAGAGAGAGAGAGAGUACNNNNNNNNNNNNNNNNNNNNAGAGAGAGAGAGAGAGAGAGAGAGAGAGACUUGGGGUUUUUGCUACAGUGGGGAGCCAUGGCGGCGUGAUGAAGCAACCAAGCUGGACUAGCCCCUCAGCGUCUGGAUGAUGGUGUUGUGCCAUGGGUCGGCCAGGUGCUGUGCCAGGUUCUCGAAGGGGCCCUUCCCCGUCACGUUGUGCUGGACAACAAAGCCUAAGAACGCCAGCAUCGCCAGUCUCCCUGCAACGAGUUGCCGAAAACAGAACAAACCCAAGUUCUUGAGAAAGCUCUAACAGGAGAGGGAGGAAGAGGGAGAGGGAGACGAAGCUCUCGAGGAUUAUCACCGUUAG